CAGUCACACUAGUUUUUUGGUAAUUCCAGCAUUGAAAUGGAACAUGUGACAAAGACAGGUGAGUGCAGCAGCCUCUCCCUACUCAGCAGGAACAGACCAUGUGAGGACACAGUGGGAAGGCAUCCAUCUUGGAGCUAAAGUUCCUUGAAUGAUAUUCCAUGUAUCAUCUAGAUUCCA